ensembl:lncRNA
CCAAGUUUGGCCCUAUUUUGGUGUAGGAAAAGAUCUAAUUAUAAUCCAGGUUUCCUGUUUAGGAGGCUUCUGAAAUGUAAUGUAUUUAUUUCAAGUGGACUGACUGUUUCUGUGUUACCUUGCUGUACCCAGUCCCCAAGAAGGAACCGGUAGGAAUCGGAAGCUAAGUUCCUUGUUCCAAAAUACCAGGGAAUCAGGAGAGAGGCAGCUGAAAGAGCUCUUGUUUUUAAUCUUAUUUCUCCCCCAAAUGAAAUAUAUACCCUGUGUUGAUGCUUCAGAACACUGAGAAUGAACACAGAUGGUAAAUCAAAUUUAGGGAGGAGGGAUGUUCUAUAUAACUCCUAAAUGCCAACUUCAAAACGCUAGAUGGCUCCCCUAAUGUAUUUUAGAUUGGAGUUAAAAAUAGGGCUCCUCAUCAGAAUUAUUGAGAAAGAUGACAAUCAUUUUUCAAGCAGUGGACGGUUGCAUCUAUAUGGGCUCUAGCCGCUGAAGAAAAGGAAAAUGCCAUGCAGACUGAAUAAAACACUUUUAGAGAUUGGAACUUUCGGCUAUUUCAUCUGCAAUGGGGCUAAUACACACCACGGAGGGCCAGCUUAAUGGGCUGUCGCUAUUGAAGGAUUCAGGAAUACAUUAUACAAAAUGGUCGUGUAUUGUUUCAGAAAAGAAACAGGUCUCAGAGAAGAACUUGGAAGGGUAGAGGGAGAAUUAUUUUCCCUCCCCUGCAGUGUCACAACACUACUAACAGCAGUAAAAGCUGAAAUGACUGACCUCAACUUGUACUGAGUCCCCGAGGAUGUUUUGGAAGCAGGAGGGGUGGAGCUGAAUUUUCUGAGAGGCUGGGCACAUGCAUUGGCUGAAAGGUUAGAGAAAUUGAUGAAGACAUAAAAAAUGCAGGCUGUUGAAUUGGUCGUUCUCAAAUGUUCCUAGAUGUGUGAAUUUACCUCAUUUUUCUCAUCUGUAAGAUGGAUAUUCAGUGAAUGUUGGUCUGCCCAUCCCUGCUAAUGAGCAGAUUUCAUUCUCUUUGUGUGUAUAUAGUAGAAAAAUCUAUAUCUAUAUUUGCAUAGUACCUUAUAGUUUGUAAAACACUUUCAUAUUUAUGAGUGAUUUGCAAACUUAAAAAAAAAGGAAUGAGUUUUUCCUUGAAAUGAAACACUACAUGGGUAUGCAGGAUGUAAGAAAAUAUAAAGGUGGGUUUCCUCUGGUUGAACGAGGUUGAAAAUUUCAACCUUUGCAAUGCCCCCAACUGUUCCUACACCUUCUUCCCCUCUAUAUGAGAACUUCUCUAUGCAGUACAGUUGCAAACCUCUGCUAUUCAUUAUAUCAUUUGAGCAAAUACAGGACUUAGAUGGACACUGAUAUGAUAGAGAAUCUUAGAAAGCAGGAGAUUACGUUUACAUUAAAAUCACAUAUUUACUUCCUUAGGGCUUUAUUCUAAGAGACAGCAUGGUCUCUGGGGAAGUUCCUUGCAGGAAAGAUGCUCUGCUGGUGGGUGAAGGGAUAUUUUCUCCAGCUGGUCUGUCAGUUCACUGAGGGGAUCACUUCUCUGUUUCCAUUUCCCUGUCUCUACAAUGGUUAUAUUAAUUAAUAGCAACCUCCCUUCUGUUUUCAAGGUUACUAAGAAAGGGAUCCAAGUUCACUGAAUGAAUCAUACACAAAGCCGGAGAGAAAUAAUGAACCAAUUUGAACACGGAUAUGGGUGAAGAAAUUUCCUUUUAUCUUAGGCAAGCCAACAUUUUCCAUGAUGCCAAUUUUAAUAUAAAUCUUGGUUAAUGACUAAUGAUCAAAAGUCUUGGCUAGUGACUAAUAAAAUUGAGUUAGUCUACUUUUUGGAUUACA